AGUGAACGCUGGCGGUAGGCCUAACACAUGCAAGUCGAACGGCAGCACAGUAAGAGCUUGCUCUUACGGGUGGCGAGUGGCGGACGGGUGAGGAAUACAUCGGAAUCUACUUUUUCGUGGGGGAUAACGUAGGGAAACUUACGCUAAUACCGCAUACGACCUACGGGUGAAAGCAGGGGAUCUUCGGACCUUGCGCGAUUGAAUGAGCCGAUGUCGGAUUAGCUAGUUGGCGGGGUAAAGGCCCACCAAGGCGACGAUCCGUAGCUGGUCUGAGAGGAUGAUCAGCCACACUGGAACUGAGACACGGGCCAGACGCCUACGGGAGGCAGCAGUGGGGAAUAUUGGACAAUGGGCGCAAGCCUGAUCCAGCCAUACCGCGUGGGUGAAGAAGGCCUUCGGGUUGUAAAGCCCUUUUGUUGGGAAAGAAAAGCAGCAGGUUAAUACCCCGCUGUUCUGACGGGACCCAAAGAAGAAGCACCGGCUAACUUCGU
rnacentral:rRNA from 1 species